GACGAACCGUGCGAACGUUGUUCGGAAUCACUGGGCUUAAAGGGCGCGUAGGCGGGCGGUCAAGUCAGAGGUGAAAUCCCACGGCUCAACCGUGGAAGUGCCCCUGAUACUGACUGUCUCGAGGGAGGUAGGGGCGUGCGGAACUUCCGGUGGAGCGGUGAAAUGCGUAGAUAUCAUCUGGAACGCCAAUGGUGAAAACAGCUCGCUGGGGGUUUGCAGACGCUGAGACACGAAAGCCAGGGGAGCGAACGGG
rnacentral:rRNA from 1 species